GCCCCCAUAGUCUAGACCGGUCAAGGAUACGGGCUUCUCGAGCCUGUGACACGGGUUCAAAUCCCGUUGGGGGCA
rnacentral:tRNA from 1 species